UAGGGAAUAUUGGACAAUGGGCGAAAGCCUGAUCCAGCAAUGCCGCGUGAGCGAUGAAGGCCUUAGGGUUGUAAAGCUCUUUUACCCGAGAUGAUAAUGACAGUAUCGGGAGAAUAAGCCCCGGCUAACUCCGUGCCAGCAGCCGCGGUAAUACGGAGGGGGCUAGCGUUGUUCGGAAUUACUGGGCGUAAAGCGCACGUAGGCGGCUAUCUAAGUCAGAGGUGAAAGCCCGGGGCUCAACCCCGGAACUGCCUUUGAGACUGGAUAGCUAGAAUCUUGGAGAGGCGGGUGGAAUUCCGAGUGUAGAGGUGAAAUUCGUAGAUAUUCGGAAGAACACCAGUGGCGAAGGCGGCCCGCUGGACAAGUAUUGACGCUGAGGUGCGAAAGCGUGGGGAGCAAACAGGAUUAGAUACC
rnacentral:rRNA from 1 species